rnacentral:lncRNA from 1 species
GUUUGAUCUCAGACUGCUGUGCUAGCAAUCAGCGAGACUCCGUGGGCGUAGGACCCUCCUAGCCAGAUACAAAAAGAAAAAUUACUGUCAUGUGAUGUGUGAUCCAUGAUACCGUCAUAGUUUUGUUUUGCUGUGCUCCACCUUCAUACCUUCGCCUAUGUUAGAACUUCUGAGAAGCUGAAGCAUCACAUAUAAAAAGCCAAGACCAUCCUCAAGGAGUUUAAUGAAUGUGGCAUCACAAGAAAAAUAUGCAUCAACAUUGAAAAAUAUGGUGCCUCCCUCUGGAACAGAGCGCAGUUAUAUUUCCUGCAUAGUAUGGAAAAGAAAUAAAAUUCCAUUAACAGAGCUUGAGGAAGUGGACUUGACUAAGCUGGAGUAAGGAGUGCAGAGAGUGAGGAGACAGGAUGCGAAACAAGA